AUUCUAAGUUUUCAUGCACUACAUAAAAUAUUAUAUGGUUGAUUAAGUAUUUGAUAAUUAAUACUGUAAAAUAAAAUAUAAUUUCAUAUAAUAUAAUAUAAAAUAUUUAAAUAAUUUAUUAUACUGCUAAAAUUUAUUUUAAUAAAUAUUUUAUAGUCGAUUUACGAUACAAUAGGCAUAUGGAAAAUUUUAUCAAGCAUUGACAAUCCUCUGUUUGGCUAGUGAUUUAAUGGGCACAAGUGGCUUGAUGUAAGGAUGUUGAUGGGCAUGGAUACACGAAAUUUUAUUCGAACUUGAAUCCGAAUGAAGCGAAUAUAACUGAUGCUAAAUGAAUAUGGAUUUGAAUAUGGAUAUCAAAAAUAAAACCCGACGGAUAU
rnacentral:lncRNA from 1 species